ACUCCUCCCUGGUUGCAUGUGCCAGAAGGUCCUUAAGAACAGAUGUCAUCUCAGCAGGAGGCUCCGGGGCAGCAGCGCAGGACGCACUGCGUGGAGAAGAUGAAGACCUGGAGCCGCGCUCUGGUCCUCCAUCCCACCGCCUCCACUCCCGCCCGGCCCUCCAGGGGUCUCCCAGGUCGCGCCCAGCGGCCGCCCGUUAUUUAAAGGUCCCGCCCGCAGCCCCGUGCGCGGUACAUUCUCUGCACUCUCCUGUGCCGACUACUGGCCGCGCCACGGUUUCCACAACCCCUCCAAGUGUUUCCCCGAGUGACUGAGAUCCUUUCCGUGGAGAGUUCAGCGAGUUGGAGAGAGUUUUAUUUUUUCAAGAAAAGACCCUACAGGCUCCAUAAGUCCCCAGGGCCAACUUGGAAAUGCUGGCACUGGCAGGGGGCCCAGAAGUGACCUGUGGGCUACUGCUCCUCAAGGGAGUCAUCUUGGAGAUACCAGGACCAGUGGCGUGUACCGCAGGGCGGCAGCUGGAGCUGAUGAAGAAAACGAAAAUGUUAGUAAGAAGAGAGAGGAGUGUUCUAUCUCUUCUCCUGAACAAAAUCCUUCAAAAACAGCCCAGUACUGGCAGAUCCUACAUUCCAGAGGACCCUGUACCCUCUACUCAAGAUGCCCUCCCGACUGCCUCUAGUAGAUGACCUUUGAUCUCUGCCAUGGCAAGCCCAGCCACCUCCUGAGCUACACUGCCACCCUUGUCCUGCUUCCUGAAAUCUGCAUAUGUUCCAUCUGGUAACCAGGUUAUCCUCAGAACUUGAAGGGAAAGAUAUGAUGAACUCAAGGGAAAGUGGACAGGCCUCCAGGACAUCCUACUUAUGACCCGUACAGUGGUCAAGUUGCCUGGAUUACAUCAUUCCCGAAUCCAGCCUUAUCCCCCUAAAGAAAACCAAAAAACUCAUGCUGGACCAGUGGACUGCAGAACUGUGCCGAGAUGAAGGUUAAAACCUUCAGUUGUUGGAGCACCAGCUGCGGGUUCGCACUGCCCUGGGCCUGCUAAUCAAAACAGUUUCAGUUGUUAGGAUGGGAAGUAUAUUGUUCUCAGACAUCUUUGUUUGUUGUUUUAUUUAGUGUUCUUCUUAUCGUCUUUAGUUAACUGUGCUUACAACUUUUGUUGUUCUCAAUAUAACUUAAAACUUAGCCAUGGCCUAAAGAAUUUGAAUCCCAGGACAAGUGCAGUAAAUCUCAGUAAUUAUUUCCAUUUAAAGUCUAUUUUAUAAAUAUGAAAUGUAGUAAUAUGAGUAAAGAAUAAAAGCACAUGUAGUGUGCAGACUAGGGCAGACUUGACACAACUGAUCUGGUCAGUUUGGUCCUGACUGACCUUCACCCCAUGGCCAGACAGGUUCAUCCGAGGGCUGACACAGGCUCAGGAGAGAGCUGGGCUCUUUCUCUUCUCUAGCGUUGCAGGAUUUCAGAAGGGCAGAUCCCAGCCAGGACAGGCUGGUCUCUCUUUGCUUCUCUUUUCUCUGAGGCCUGCUUCCCUCUGGGAGAGCUUCGUGCUUUAGAAGGCUACUCUCUGUGGGGCAGCCUGUCCGGUGACAUUGUCAACAUCUGUGGAUCAGCUUGAUGUGUGAAGCACGAAGUCGAGUCCUGGAGGGAGAGGAGGACAGCUCGCUCCUCUGAUUCCCUGUGUGUUGCCCCAUUUUUCUGGAUAUGUGGUCAGUACGUGACAGACACGGUCCUCAUCCAACACUCUUCCUUGGUCAGCACAGUUCUUGGUUCACACCUGGCACACAGCAGGCGCUCAGUAAAUGUCCAUCUGGUGAUUAAUGCAGAGCCCAUGUCACAGAGUUUGCUAACAGGACGAUGGAUCACCUCACUCCUGACUCAAUCAGCAUGUUGUGAGUGGUUCAAAAUACAGGCCCAGUGUUUCAACUUCAGAGACACCCCAGAAUGGAAAAAUUGCUCCUUGGAUGAAGUGAUUUAAAGUAUCACUGCUCUGCUCUCCAGGAAACAUGGUGAGAGUGAGAACAAUGCUGGGGUGUGAUGCGGGUUUGGAGGGAAAGCAGACGGUGAGUCUCCAACUUGGCAUCAUGCUCCAUGUGGGCUGCUCUCCAUUUCUAGUUCCUCCUUCGUGGAGACACACUUGUGUUGCCUUCUCUUGUGUCCUGGGGAGAAUGGACUAGGGCAGGAGGAACUGAGCUCAGGGUGCAGGGCAGUUACACGCCCGGUGCCUCCUGAGAUGAGCUGUGGGGUUCUCUCCUCUCCCCUGCUGAGGCCUGACUGUAGCUGUGUCAGCAUCACUAGCUGUGGGCCCUCAGCCUCUUCUUUAUCAGAGAAUCCUGGGGAAUGGAAUUUGAUGGAUUUGCUCAUUAGCCUCUUGCAUUACUGAGGUUGAUUUGAUUGUGUUUUCUUUCCCUCAUUGUGCAUAUGAAUCAAAUUGUUAGAAUACAUCUCAGCAAAUCCUUUUCCUAUAUCCUGGACAGAUGGAGAAUGCCAUUGUGUGGGAAGUGCAAGGCAAUGGAUUUCAAAUGUCACCACAUUGGCCCAUCUCUCUAUUUUUUAUUUUAGAUUGAUAUGAGGUGGCAAAUGUUUAGGUUACAUUAUUUUCAUUUGUAAGGUGAAGUUCAAGCUGUAGUUGAGCCCUUCACCUGGGGGCCUGCUGAGCCCCCUCACAUUGCGUAUAUUAGGUGACAUCCCACCACUCCCCCCUGCCUCCCCCUCCCCCUCCCUAGACUAUACUUGUGUUUUUCUCUCAUGUGGGUGUGUAGUUGUUUAUCUAUUUGGUUUCAUAUUAAUAUUGAGUACAUUGGAGACCCCCCCCAAUUCUUGAGAUACUUCACUAACAAUGUGUGUAAACGACAUCCAGGUAAACACAAAAGAUGUAAAGUCUCCAUGUUUUCUUAUGGCUGAAUACUAUUCCAUGGUAUACAUAUACCACAAUUGGUUUAUCCGUUCGUGGGUUGAUGGGCACUUGGGUUGUUUCCAUGUCUUGGAAAUUAUGAUUUCAGCUGCAAUAAACAUUCUGGUGCAAAUGUCUUUGUGGUAAAAUGAUUUUUUUCCCUCUGGGUAGCAUCUAUCUUCUUACAGGUGAAAGCCAGGCCAUCAUUUCUGUUAGUCCUUAGAGUCAGAGCUGGAACAUACAGGGAUUGUCCAGCCAAACCUGCAGAGUGGCCACCGGCUUGGGACGCUGCAUGGUGAAUUGGAGGGAGGUGCUAGUAGCCCUGCCUGGGGGUCUGCUCCAUCCCUGCCAGAUCCUGUCACUGAGAUCUCCUCACAGGUGGGGUGCCAGUUGCCUUGUUGCUGCUGAUUCCCCUCCCCCUCCACCCGCGCCUUGGAGUUCCCUGCCUCUACCACCUCCCUUCUCCUGCUCCUUUGCAUUGUGGGCCCAGCAAGUCAGUUUA